UACGUAGGGGGCAAGCGUUGUCCGGAUUUAUUGGGCGUAAAGGGCGCGUAGGCGGUCUGACAAGUGGAAGGUGAAAUCCCCGCGCUUAACGUGGGAACUGCCUUCCAAACUGUUUGAUCUUGAGUCCGGGAGAGGUGAGUGGAAUUCCCAGUGUAGCGGUGAAAUGCGUAGAUAUUGGGAGGAACACCAGUGGCGAAGGCGGCUCACUGGACCGGAACUGACGCUGAGGCGCGAAAGCGUGGGGAGCAAACAGG
rnacentral:rRNA from 1 species